rnacentral:lncRNA from 1 species
UUUUUUAUUUUUAUAUGUUAUUUUCUCUGUUUUUUUAUCUUAUUUUAUGUUAUUUUUUUUUUUUUAUCUUAUUUUAUGUUAUUUUUUUAAAUGCAAUUACUUCAUUUAUUCAAUUGAUCUUUUUUCUCUAUAUUUUAUAUCAAUAAAAUUAGCUCAAUAAAAUCUGUUAUAGAACACGGUAUUCUAUAGUAGCAAAGCAAUAAGAAAUACGAAUAAUAAAUAAAAAAGUAUGAAUAAAACAAAAGAAAACCUUACCAUAAACUUCUAAAGUACCUAACAUAGUCACCUUCGGUAGACAAUCAGUAGAGAGACAGCCGAGUUACGAAGAUGUUGAAGCCUCAUUCGUCUUAAAAGAAGAAGAACAUACCACUCUAACCACCCACCACCAUUACCUUAGACAUAACUCCACUCAUGCCAUUGUCCAUAAAUCCAAAUAGACUAACUUGGAAACCUAAUCAAACAAAAACCUGAAAGCCAAUAUACAAGUCAUGGAAAAAGAAUUGAAAGGAAAGGCUAUUACAUUUAAAUAUGAGCUAAGGUUUCUGGAGACCUUGCCUUUUACUGUAGAAAUAGAUUGGACUAUGCCUCUCAAAAUGUUCAAGAUGGCUACCUUAAAACUUAUGAUGGUAUAAUUAACCCCUGUGAUCAUUUGAAACUUUACAAAACUAACAUAAUGAUGCAAAAAGUAGGUGAAGCUCUCAUGCGUAAAGGUAUGGCAACGACACUCAAAGGGGCAACUCGAUCCUGGUAUGGUGGUUUAAAACCUAGGUCUAUUACCAUAUUUAAAAAGCUUAGUCAUGCAUUCUUGUCUUGUUUUGUCUGCAACAAGAGAACAAAAAAAAUAGCACUCAGUCUGAUGUCUAUCUAUCAAGGCAUAAUGAGUCUUUAAAAGACUACGUAAAGUAUUUUAAUACAAAAACCCUUCAAGUAAAAGAUUUAAAAUAGAUCCGUUGCAGUUGCCACCUUGACUAGUGGACUCAGUGAUAGAGAGUGUCACAUGAAGCUUACACUUUCCCUAAAAUAGUAAAAGACAUUAGUUUACAUGCUAUUUAGAGCGAAAAAAUAUAUAAAUAUUGAAGCUACAAUGAAAAAUCAAGGUGAAUAAAGCUUAUCUCCCUACCUAGGCCAAAAAAGACAAGAAAAUUUAUUUUUUCCCCCAAAAAAGAGACAAGACAAGAAAAUUUACAAUCCUUCCUCAAGAAGAAGAUAACAAGGGUACCAUAGGGUCAAGAGUUUGAACAAACAAUGAAACCAUACAACAUUGAAUACCUCUAAAGAAAGGAUUUUGAAGCAAAUAGAAAGGACCCCGAACUCAUAUGGCAAAGUCACAAGGUAGAAUACCUGACGAGACCUUAACAAAAGAUACGCAUGUUAUAAGGACUUCAGCUACAAUGUUAAAAAUUAUGUCGACCUAAAAAAUAAGAUAAAAAGUCUUAUUAGAAGAAGUCGGCUAGGUAGAUUUAUGGAUCGACUAAGAUAGGGUUAAGAUAGACUAAACUACAGAAGAAAGAAUAAAAUAGAAGAUCCAAAAAAGAAACAGAGGAAAGACUAAAGGAAAAUCGAGGUGGUGAAAAUCCAAGGAAUGAACAUAAAAAAAAAGGCCAAACUAUAGACCACUAAUCCAUUAAAGGCAUCAAUAAUAUAAUAAUUGGUUAGAGCUCUAUCUUGACCAAAAAAAAUUUUGAUAAAGGGAUUAUCAUGGCCAUUAGGUCCUCGACCAAAAAAGAAAAAAAUUGA